AUUGAACGCUGGCGGCAGGCUUAACACAUGCUAGUCGAGCGGGGUGGUGGUGCUUGCACUAUCACUUAGCGGCGGACGGGUGAGUAAUGCUUAGGAAUCUGCCUAUUAGUGGGGGACAACAUCUCGAAAGGGAUGCCAAUACCGCAUACGACCUACGGGAGAAAGCAGGGGAUCACUUGUGAACUUGAGCUAAUAGAUGAGCCCAAGUCGGAUUAGCUAGUGGGAGGGGUAAAGGACUACAAAGGCGACGAUGUGUAGCGGGUCUGAGAGGAUGAUCCGCCACACUGGGACUGAGACACGGCCCAGACUCCUACGGGAGGCAGCAGUGGGGAAUAUUGGACAAUGGGGGGGAAACCUGAUCCAGCCAUGCCGCGUGUGUGAAGAAGGCCUUAUGGUUGUAAAGCACUUUAAGCGAGGAGGAGGCUCUUUUGGUUAAUACCCAAGAUGAGUGGACGUUACUCGCAGAAUAAGCACCGGCUAACUCUGUGCCAGCAGCCGCGGUAA
rnacentral:rRNA from 1 species